rnacentral:rRNA from 1 species
GGGGUGAAAGGCCGCAGCUCAACUGCGGGACUGCCUUUGAUACUGCGGUCCUUGAGUGUGAGAGAGGUAUGUGGAACUCCGAGUGUAGAGGUGAAAUUCGUAGAUAUUCGGAAGAACACCAGUGGCGAAGGCGACAUACUGGCUCAUUACUGACGCUGAGGCUCGAAAGCGUGGGGAGCAAACAG